GCGCAUAUCCGUCGCUCCCUUACAAGGAGGGGGUCGCAGGUUCGAUCCCUGCUGCGCCCA
rnacentral:tRNA from 1 species